UGGGGAAUAUUGCACAAUGGGGGAAACCCUGAUGCAGCGACGCCGCGUGAACGAAGAAGGUAUUCGUAUCGUAAAGUUCUGUCCUAUGGGAAGAUAAUGACAGUACCAUAGAAGAAAGCUCCGGCUAAAUACGUGCCAGCAGCCGCGGUAAUACGUAUGGAGCGAGCGUUGUCCGGAAUUAUUGGGCGUAAAGGGUACGCAGGCGGUUUAAUAAGUCGAAUGUUAAAGAUCGGGGCUCAACCCCGUAAAGCAUUGGAAACUGAUAAACUUGAGUAGUGGAGAUGAAAGUGGAAUUCCUAGUGUAGUGGUGAAAUACGUAGAUAUUAGGAGGAAUACCAGUAGCGAAGGCGACUUUCUGGACACAAACUGACGCUGAGGUACGAAAGCGUGGGGAGCAAACAGG
rnacentral:rRNA from 1 species